AUCUUCCACAAUGGGCGCAAGCCUGAUGCAGCAACGCCGCGUGCGCGACGAAGGCCUUCGGGUCGUAAAGCGCUUUUCGGGGAGAUGAGUACGGACAGUAUCCCCGGAAGAAGGAUCGGCUAACUACGUGCCAGCAGCCGCGGUAAAACGUAGGAUCCGAGCGUUGUCCGGAAUUAUUGGGCGUAAAGAGCUCGUAGGCGGUUUGUCGCGUCUGCUGUGAAAACCCGAGGCUCAACCUCGGGCCUGCAGUGGGUACGGGCAGACUAGAGUGCGGUAGGGGAGACUGGAAUUCCUGGUGUAGCGGUGGAAUGCGCAGAUAUCAGGAGGAACACCGAUGGCGAAGGCAGGUCUCUGGGCCGCAACUGACGCUGAGGAGCGAAAGCAUGGGGAGCGAACAGG
rnacentral:rRNA from 1 species